AGUGAACGCUGGCGGUAGGCCUAACACAUGCAAGUCGAACGGCAGCACAGAGGAGCUUGCUCCUUGGGUGGCGAGUGGCGGACGGGUGAGGAAUACAUCGGAAUCUACUCUGUCGUGGGGGAUAACGUAGGGAAACUUACGCUAAUACCGCAUACGACCUACGGGUGAAAGCAGGGGAUCUUCGGACCUUGCGCGAUUGAAUGAGCCGAUGUCGGAUUAGCUAGUUGGCGGGGUAAAGGCCCACCAAGGCGACGAUCCGUAGCUGGUCUGAUAGGAUGAUCAGCCACACUGGAACUGAGACACGGUCCAGACUCCUACGGGAGGCAGCAGUGGGGAAUAUUGGACAAUGGGCGCAAGCCUGAUCCAGCCAUACCGCGUGGGUGAAGAAGGCCUUCGGGUUGUAAAGCCCUUUUGUUGGGAAAGAAAUCCAUCUGGUUAAUACCCGGGUGGGAUGACGGUACCCAAGGAAUAAGCACCGGCUAACUUCGUGCCAGCCGCCGCGGUAA
rnacentral:rRNA from 1 species